GUCUACGGCCAUGCCACCCUGAACGUGCCGGAUUCCGUCUGAUCUCGGAAGCUAAUCAGGGUUGGGCCCGGUUAGUACUUGGAUGGGAGACCACCUAGGAAGACCAGAUGCUGUACGCG
rnacentral:rRNA from 1 species